AUGAACGCUGGCGGCGUGCCUAAUACAUGCAAGUCGAGCGAACAGACGAGGAGCUUGCUCCUCUGACGUUAGCGGCGGACGGGUGAGUAGCACGUGGAUAACCUACCUAUAAGACUGGGAUAACUUCGGGAAACCGGAGCUAAUACCGGAUAAUAUAUUGAACCGCAUGGUUCAAUAGUGAAAGACGGUUUUGCUGUCACUUAUAGAUGGAUCCGCGCCGCAUUAGCUAGUUGGUAAGGUAACGGCUUACCAAGGCAACGAUGCGUAGCCGACCUGAGAGGGGGCUAGACCACACAGAAACGGGGCCCCGGCCCGAACCCCGAGGGGGGGAGGCGGGGGGAAUUUUUCCGCAUGGGGGGAAAGCCUGAGGGGGCAACGCGGGGGGGGGAUGGAGGUUUUUGGGUCGGUAAAACUUUGUUAUUGGGAAAAAAAAAAGGUAUAAAUAAUGAUCCCAGUUUGAAGGGAACUAAAGAAGAAAGCCGGGGCAAAAUACGG
rnacentral:rRNA from 1 species